CGUGUAGGCGGCCCGGCAAGUUGGAUGUGAAAGCUCCCGGCUUAACUGGGAGAGGUCGUUCAAAACUGCCGAGCUAGAGUAUGAGAGAGGGAGGUGGAAUUCCGGGUGUAGUGGUGAAAUGCGUAGAUAUUCGGAGGAACACCAGUGGCGAAAGCGGCCUCCUGGCUCAUAACUGACGCUCAGACGCGAAAGCUAGGGUAGCAAACG
rnacentral:rRNA from 1 species